rnacentral:lncRNA from 1 species
CUUUAUAUGCAAUAAAGAUUAUGCUUUUUAUUUAAAUCAUCAUGAGUUCUUUAUUUGCUCUCUUUCAUAUAUUUUUAUUUAUGCUUUCCUGUUAGAUUAAUAUUAGGAAUAACUUUUACUUUCCGGAGACGCACCGUGAUCUAGGGUAUGGGGUGUGUCGAGGAAAGAUAGGUAUUUUUCUUAAGAUUAAUCGUAUCUAUUUAAUUAAAAAAGAGAUACAACUCUGCUAGUGCAAAAUUAAUU